ACACGACUACAUUAGAUACCCGUGUAGUCCCAGCCCUAAACGAUGCGCGUUAGGUGUAUCGGUGACCACGAGUCACCGAGGUGCCGAAGGGAAACCGUGAAACGUGCCGCCUGGGAAGUACGGCCGCAAGGCUGAAACUUAAAGGAAUUGCGGGGGAGCACCACAACGGGUGGAGCUUGCGGUUUAAUUGGAUUCAACGCCGGAAAUCUUACCGGGACCGACAGCAACAUGAAGGCCAGGCUGAAGACUUUGCCGGAUUUAGCUG
rnacentral:rRNA from 1 species